GAAAUUGUCGUCCUCGGCCGACAGAAGUGCCUGAAUGAACUGUGGCGGAAUCUCCGAGAAGCGGAUCGGGGAGCGGCGCAUUUCGCCAAAUUCCGCGAUCAGCUUGCCGUCGCUGCUGAACACCUUGAGGGGGAUCUGCAACUGGAUGCUUCUGAGCGAAUCGACCGAAGGCAGGUUGGGGCUAAGAUACAGAAACGCGCCGCUCACACCGAGUACGAGCGCGCAGAUGGCUGCGACGGAAGACCACCAGAAGAACUUAAGCAGACGUAUCAAGGCUUUUCGGUGUCCAGGUUG
rnacentral:antisense_RNA from 1 species